AGCGAGACCUACGGGGGUUGGACGGGCGAGGCCCCGCCCAGACGUGGGUGUCGCUGAGGAACAAAACAAGAGGGAAAAAAAAGGGAAGGGCUAUGGAUUGAGAAUGUCUUACAUUCUGUGCAGGUUAAUCAUUUGCAAGGCUGCCGUAUCCACUCCUUGACCGUAGUUAAGACGUCAUUGUUGUAUGGAUGUACCCAGUUCGUUGCCUAUUGCUCAUGAUGAAGGUAGCUGUCACUCAAUCUCUUUAAAUGCAGGGAACUACUGGGUCUGCUUGCUGUACUGAGGUGGAUUUAAAAAGUCCAACAGUGCUACUUGGAAGAAAAGCAAGGGAGUUCAAGUAAUAUCCUUCCACUGAUAGCACUAAAACGGUGCUUCUUCAGCAAUACCUCCACCCUGCAACCUCCACCCCGAAUAACAAAAGCAAUAAUUCAAUGGGAGGACCAUCACCUUCUAGCACUCACCAUCCUGAUUGGAAACAACCUUCAAUUCCUUUAUUGUCACUUGUGCAGAAUUCUGAAAUUCUUAUGUAACUAACACCAAGAUUGCAAAAGUUUAAGAUGAACACUCACUACAACCUGAGAAAAAACUAUGAUGUGGAGGUGCCUGUGUUGGACUGGGGUGGACAUAUGAAGAAGGACUGAGGCUCCAGAAGCUUGUGUAUUCAAAUAAACCUGUUGGACUAUAA